GGACUACCCGGGUAUCUAAUCCCGUUUGCUCCCCUGGCUUUCGCGCCUCAGCGUCAGUGUCAGCCCAGCAACCCGUCUUCACCUCAGGUGUUCCUCUUGAUAUCUACGCAUUUCACCGCUACACCAAGAAUUCCGAUUGCCCCUUCUGCACUCUAGCCUGACAGUUUCACUUGGCCAUUCCGAGUUAAGCCCGGAGAUUUCACAAGUGACUUGUUAGGCCGCCUACGCGCCCUUUACGCCCAGUAAAUCCGAACAACGCUUGGUCCCUACGUAUUACCGCGGCUGCUGGCAC
rnacentral:rRNA from 1 species